rnacentral:rRNA from 1 species
UACGGAGGGCGCAAGCGUUGCUCGGAAUCACUGGGCGUAAAGCGAACGCAGGCGGCCAAGUGUGUCGGAUGUGAAAGCCCCGGGCUCAACUCGGGAACUGCAUUCGAAACUGCUUGGCUUGAGUCCGGAAGAGGGUGGUGGAAUUCCUGGUGUAGAGGUGAAAUUCGUUGAUAUCAGGAGGAACACCGGCGGCGAAGGCGGCCACCUGGUCCGGUACUGACGCUCAUGUUCGAAAGCGUGGGUAGCAAACAGG